rnacentral:sRNA from 1 species
GCUGGGUAUGGUGGCGGCUGCCUAUAAUCCUACCUACUUGAGAUGCUGAGGCAGGAGGAUCUCAAGUUUCAGGCCAGCCUGGAAAACUUAGUGAGACCCUGCUUCAA